ensembl:snRNA U2 U2 spliceosomal RNA
AUCUCGUCCCAGCCUUUUGGCUGAGAUCAAGUGUAGCAUCUGUUCUUAUCAGUUUCACAUAGCACGAGGGAAAUGCAACUGUUCUGUGCCCACGAUGACUUCAUCUAUGUUGAGCACCGAGAACAGCUCUUGGCAUGCCAGACGGGCUGCUAUGUGGGUGUUUGCUGAGAUGAUGAUUCCGACUUCAUUU